rnacentral:rRNA from 1 species
AAACGAACGCUGGCGGCAUGCCUAACACAUGCAAGUCGAACGAGACCUUCGGGUCUAGUGGCGCACGGGUGCGUAACGCGUGGGAAUCUGCCCUUGGGUUCGGAAUAACAGUUAGAAAUGACUGCUAAUACCGGAAUAAUGUCUUCGGACCAAAGAUUUAUCGCCCAGGGAUGAGCCCGCGUAGGAUUAGCUAGUUGGUGAGGUAAAGGCUCACCAAGGCGACGAUCCUUAGCUGGUCUGAGAGGAUGAUCAGCCACACUAGGGACUGAGACACGGCCCAGACUCCUACGGGAGGCAGCAGUAGGGAAU